rnacentral:tRNA from 1 species
ACCUGGGUAGCUCAGUUGGUUAAGCAUCUGACUUUGGCUCAGGUCAUGAUCUCACGGGUUGUGGGUUUGAGCCCCACAUCGGGCU